CAGGUAUGACGUUUCCUUGUCCUCUUGCCCUUCAGCCUUUGGAUGGUGAUCUUGAGCCUUCUUUUACAUGACCGGAAGGCAUGAGGAAGCCUGCUGCCUCCACACUAAAUCAACUGGAGGUUUUCCAAGAGGGAAUCCUAAUCAGAGGAGAGAAGGCCUCCUUUAAGCUGGUGAAUGUCACUGUGGCCUCUGCAGUCUUGGAAGCUGUAUUGCAAAGGCCCCACUAGGGGUCUCUAAGAACCAAAGUGAAGAUAGCAGUACAGAUUUUGAAAGGAAUUCCUCUUGGAGCUUUAUUUUAGAUCACAUGCCUUUUUCUUUUAUUAGUUUAGAGCAAGCUUUUCAUUCAGUUGCCCUUUUUCAAUUAUGUGAGUGUUUCCUGGUACAAAGAAAGAGAUGCUGGGCCGGCCAUUGUUGUCAAGCCCAGGGCAGAUACGGAAUUGGAGAAUACCUGGACUGUCUUAGAGGCCUCUAGUCUGUAUGAGAAAGGCAAGAACGGGUGUACUGUAAGGUAUCAAUUGAUUAAAGAGGCUUUGAAAAGACCGCGUUUCAAUUGCACUUGCGGGGUAACUCUUGAUUAAGGGAAAAAUCUUUUUCUUUCAUCACUGCUUGUUGAAAUCUUCUUAAAGGUUUUGCACAUCAGUGGUCCCCAACUCACUUUCCAACCUAAAGAACCUCUUUUUAACAUCACAAAGUCUUGCAGACCUGCCUCCACCACCAUUGUAGCCAUUACAGUUUUAGAGUUCACUGGUUGAAAAAAAUACCGAUACAAAGCCUUCUAUGGUUCAAGAAUUUUUAAAUGAAUUGGAAGUAUCCACAAACUUGCGAAAAACAGCACUGUAUAUAUUUGUAAAACAUUAUUUCAUCAACAAAUAUUUGUUGCUCACAUUGAUUUGAAGGCUUCUUGACCCGUAACUUGAUAAACAUUGCAUUGUGCUAUGCCUUCUUUCCAGUGCUUUUGAGGGGGAAAAUGAAUUCUUAAGUACAGUUGUCCUUCAGUUUCCACAGGGGAUUGGUUUCAGGACUUCCCCCACCUCCCUGCCAUGAAUACCAAAAUCUAUGGAUGCCCCAGUCCCUGAUAUAAAAUGGCAUAGUCUUUGCAUAUAACCUACACUCAUCCUUCCCUCCUUAAAUCUUCUCUAACUUGCUUAUAAUAUCCAAUAGAAUGCCCACACGUCACUUCAUUCACGUGGACUCAAGAUGCAGAACCCAAGGAUACAGAAGGCCAACUGUAUAUUGUCCUGUGACUUGGUGUGUGUGUCUAGUAGAAGAUCAUGGGGUGGGGGAUGGGGAAGCUGAAGGUGGUUAUAGGGAAUAUCACACACAGCAUCCUUACCUGGCUUUGCUUACUCUACCUGCUAGGCUGAGUUGGGUAGUUUGCAGGCUGAGCCUUCCUCUUUUAAAAUGCCAAGCCUCUUCACAUGCUUUUAACUGUGUGCCUCACUUUCUUUCUCUACAGUGGUUACAGCCAAGAGGUGGUGUGCUACACAUUAGGAAAUAUCCCUCAGAUGCCUUCUGCACCAAGGCUGGUUCGAGCCGGUAUCACAUGGGUCACGUUGCAGUGGAGUAAGCCAGAAGGCUGUUCACCUGAGGAAGUGAUCACCUACACCUUGGAAAUUCAGGAGGAUGAAAAUGAUAACCUUUUCCACCCAAAAUACACUGGAGAGGAUUUAACCUGUACUGUGAAAAAUCUCAAAAGAAGCACACAGUAUAAAUUCAGGCUGACUGCUUCUAAUACGGAAGGAAAAAGCUGUCCAAGCGAAGUUCUUGUUUGUACGACAAGUCCUGACAGGCCUGGACCUCCUACCAGACCGCUUGUCAAAGGCCCAGUUACAUCUCAUGGCUUUAGUGUCAAAUGGGGUAUGUUUUGCUGCUGCUGCUGCUGCUGUUUUUUUUUUCUUUUGAUAGAUUUUUUUAAAAUGAUUAAUUUUAGUAGUGACAAGCCAAAAAAUUUGUGGAUGGUAUUUGCAGAAGUUUUCUGCAUUCGGAAUAUAUAUGUGAGAAACAUCCUGAGAAUUCUACAAAUUGGAAUGGACAAUUUCAUUAAAAUGUAAUCAUAAUGGGCAAUUAAAUUUUAGUGGAAAUUAAAAUGGAUGAUUUUUAAGAGUAUCUCAUUUACUCUGAUUUUCCUGUAUUACAUAUUUUUUCUCCUAUAUAUUUAAGGCAUGGAUUUGAAUGUAGUAAUCUCUGCAUGCAUCGUUCAUUCUUCAAUAGUUCAUCCUUAAAAAAUUAGCAAUACUUAAUAGAAAAAUUUUGAUUUAUAAAGUUAAUAUUGAAAAUAAAUUUCAAAAUUUAGGUUUGUUAAGUAAACUUUAGCAUACAGAAUGUUUAAGUUGCAACGAAUUAGGGAUAGUUUUGUUUCCAUUGGUGUUUGUUGUGUAACCAGAGUCUUGAACUUUGGGAAAUUUUCGUAUUAAAGUUCAUAAGGAGUUUGAGGUUGUCAGGUAAAAGGAUAUUGUGCCUCACCUCUGCUGUGUGAAUUAUUUCAAUAAAAUGCAUACAAUUAGAAGGUUGACAAUUAAUAUGUAAAAGCGUUAUGCGUAUCAUUUUUACUAAUGUCAUAAUAAUAUUAACUAAUAGGCAAAAAAAAA
rnacentral:sRNA from 1 species